GAACGAACCAGGCUAAGACCAAGUCAAGUCCAAGCAGCAAGUCGUCUCUCCCUUUAUGGAAGCAGUAAUCACAGAGGUUCCCUCCUGGUUUUCACCAUGCUGGCAACAAACUCCGGAACGGAUUCAUCACACGGACUCUCACACAUAUGACACAAAACUGAGGCUGAUUAAAGACAGUAACGGUAUACUUAGCAUUGAUGCCACGUAAACAACAUUAGCCAAGGAGGCAGUGACCCGUAGGCUUGAGCGACCAAUGGAGCCAAGUGGGAUAAAAUCUCAUCAUUAUGAAAAUUACAGCUUUUCUGCUCAAUCAGGCGGUGCCUCAUUUUGUGAGGGAUAAAAUAAAUGGCUUUGGGGAGGCCACUGCGACAGGUUAUUUCAUGUAGCAGACAUAAAUUGUGAUUGUUGCCACGCAAUUGUGAAAAUCAGCUUUUUAAGAAUAAAAGUUGUGAAAAUGUCA